rnacentral:rRNA from 1 species
UCUGGUUGAUCCUGCCAGUAGUUAUAUGCUUGUCUCAAAGAUUAAGCCAUGCAUGUCUAAGUACACACGAAUUAAAAGUGAAACCGCAAAAGGCUCAUUAUAUCAGUUAUGGUUCCUUAGAUCGUUAACAGUUACUUGGAUAACUGUGGUAAUUCUAGAGCUAAUACAUGCAAUUAAAACACGGACCUUAUGGGACGUGUGCUUUUAUUAGGCUAAAACCAAGCGAUCGUAAAAUCGUUACAUUGGUUGAACUCUAGAUAACAUGCAGAUCGUAUGGUCUUGUACCGACGACAGAUCUUUCAAAUGUCUGCCCUAUCAACUUUUGAUGGUAGUAUCUAGGACUACCAUGGUUGCAACGGGUAACGGGGAAUCAGGGUUCGAUUCCGGAGAGGGAGCCUGAGAAACGGCUACCACAUCUAAGGAAGGCAGCAGGCGCGUAAAUUACCCACUCCCAGCUCGGGGAGGUAGUGACGAAAAAUAACAAUACAGGACUCAUAUCCGAGGCCCUGUAAUUGGAAUGAGUACACUUUAAAUCCUUUAACAAGGACCAAUUGGAGGGCAAGUCUGGUGCCAGCAGCCGCGGUAAUUCCAGCUCCAAUAGCGUAUAUUAAAGUUGUUGCGGUUAAAACGUUCGUAGUUGAACUUGUGCUUCAUACGGGUAGUACAACUUACAAUUGUGGUUAGUACUAUACCUUUAUGUAUGUAAGCGUAUUACCGGUGGAGUUCUUAUAUAUAAUUAAGUACUUGUAUUUUUUAUAUAUUCCUCCUAUUUAAAAACCUGCAUUAGUGCUCUUCAUCGAGUGUUAUUGUGGGCCGGUACAAUUACUUUGAACAAAUUAGAGUGCUUAAAGCAGGCUUCAAAUGCCUGAAUAUUCUGUGCAUGGGAUAAUGAAAUAAGACCUCUGUUCUGCUUUCAUUGGUUUUCAGAUCAAGAGGUAAUGAUUAAUAGAAGCAGUUUGGGGGCAUUAGUAUUACGACGCGAGAGGUGAAAUUCUUGGACCGUCGUAAGACUAACUUAAGCGAAAGCAUUUGCCAAAGAUGUUUUCAUUAAUCAAGAACGAAAGUUAGAGGUUCGAAGGCGAUCAGAUACCGCCCUAGUUCUAACCAUAAACGAUGCCAGCUAGCAAUUGGGUGUAGCUACUUUUAUGGCUCUCUCAGUCGCUUCCCGGGAAACCAAAGCUUUUGGGCUCCGGGGGAAGUAUGGUUGCAAAGCUGAAACUUAAAGGAAUUGACGGAAGGGCACCACCAGGAGUGGAGCCUGCGGCUUAAUUUGACUCAACACGGGAAAACUUACCAGGUCCGAACAUAAGUGUGUAAGACAGAUUGAUAGCUCUUUCUCGAAUCUAUGGGUGGUGGUGCAUGGGUGCGUUCAAUUGCCUUUAAAGCUGAGUGACAGUCUUCUUGGAGAUUCUUAUCAACAAGCCUAUCGCAGAUUUCUCAAUCUAGAGCGCAAGUUGGUUCGCAAACCGCUUCUCAAGGCCCAAUACGCCGCAUUUAUAAAGGAAUACGUCGAUUUGAAUCACAUGUCCCCUGUCAAAAGUGACGCACUUAAACAAUGCAAAUUUUUUCUUCCUCAUCACUGCGUCUUAAGAGAAGACAAAACCACCACAAAACUCCGAGUAGUUUGCGACGGAUCCGCU